rnacentral:rRNA from 1 species
GAUGAACGCUGGCGGCGUGCCUAAUACAUGCAAGUCGAGCGAACGGACGAGAAGCUUGCUUCUCUGAUGUUAGCGGCGGACGGGUGAGUAACACGUGGAUAACCUACCUAUAAGACUGGGAUAACUUCGGGAAACCGGAGCUAAUACCGGAUAAUAUUUUGAACCGCAUGGUUCAAAAGUGAAAGACGGUCUUGCUGUCACUUAUAGAUGGAUCCGCGCUGCAUUAGCUAGUUGGUAAGGUAACGGCUUACCAAGGCAACGAUGCAUAGCAGACCUGAGAGGGUGAUCGGCCACACUGGAACUGAGACACGGUCCAGACUCCUACGGGAGGCAGCAGUAGGGAAUCUUCCGCAAUGGGCGAAAGCCUGACGGAGCAACGCCGCGUGAGUGAUGAAGGUCUUCGGAUCGUAAAACUCUGUUAUUAGAGAAGAACAUAUGUGUAAGUAACUGUGCACAUCUUGACGGUACCUAAUCAGAAAGCCACGGCUAACUACGUG